UACGUAGGGGGCAAGCGUUGUCCGGAAUCAUUGGGCGUAAAGCGCGUGUAGGCGGCUCGGUAAGUCCGCUCUGAAAGUCCAGGGCUCAACCCUGGGAUGCGGGUGGAUACUGCCGGGCUCGAGUCCGGAAGAGGCGAGUGGAAUUCCCGGUGUAGCGGUGAAAUGCGCAGAUAUCGGGAGGAACACCAAUGGCGAAGGCAGCUCGCUGGGACGUGACUGACGCUGAGACGCGAAAGCGUGGGGAGCAAACAGGGAUUAAGAAACCCGGG
rnacentral:rRNA from 1 species